rnacentral:rRNA from 1 species
UCUAGAGAUUACUCCUACGGGAGGCAGCAGUGGGGAAUAUUGCGCAAUGGGCGAAAGCCUGACGCAGCCACGCCGCGUGAAGGAUGACGGUCUUCGGAUUGUAAACUUCUGUCGGGAGGGAAGAAGGGGCAACCCUGACGGUACCUCGCAAGAAAGCACCGGCUAACUCUGUGCCAGCAGCCGCGGUAAUAAUCGUCGAC